UUUGGGCUUCUGUUCUCUCCCAACCCCUGUGACUUCCACUUGUUGCCUCGCCGGAUCAGCCCGCUCCCGGUAAAACGGGACGGCCCGCCAGAGGACCCCUAAACUCUGUUUCUAUAUGUAACUUCUGAAUAAGACCAUAAAUAAAUCAAAACUUUCAACAACGGAUCUCUUGGUUCUGGCAUCGAUGAAGAACGCAGCAAAAUGCGAUAAGUAAUGUGAAUUGCAGAAUUCAGUGAAUCAUCGAAUCUUUGAACGCACAUUGCGCCCGCCAGUAUUCUGGCGGGCAUGCCUGUUCGAGCGUCAUUUCAACCCUCAAGCACAGCUUGGUGUUGGGACUCGCGUUAAUUCGCGUUCCUCAAAUUGAUUGGCGGUCACGUCGAGCUUCCAUAGCGUACUAAUAAAACCCUCGUUACUGGUAAUCGUCGCGGCCACGCCGUUAAACCCCAACUUCUGAAUGUUGACCUCGGAUCAGGUAGGAAUACCCGCUGAACUUAAGCAUAACAAUAAGCGGAGGAAUAA
rnacentral:rRNA from 1 species